rnacentral:lncRNA from 1 species
GAGAGUUAAAUCUUCUUAUAUUCAUAAUUGGUUCACAUUCGAUCACUAAUUUUUUUGUUUCAUGGAUCCCACCUUAUAUUUUCUCUCAAAUCAUCCAAAAGGAAAAUCUUUGGCAAAUAUAGAGAAUCAGAUGCAAAUAACGAAGACAGAAGACAACAUUAGAAAGAGCAACCAAUUUUUUUUAAAAAAAUAAUAAAUAACGAAGACAGAAGAAAUGAAGCAUCAUACCUUACAUAUUUGUACCAAUGUACAUGUCUUAAUUAUAUAAACCUACAUAUAUUUAUCUAUAUUAAUAAAGUAAAACAUACACUUUUUUUUGAGAAAUGGCUAGUUAAAUAAAGUUGUAACUGAGAGUUAACUUAAAUCUUCUUAUAUUCAUAAUUGGUUCACAUUCGAUCACUAAAUUUUUUGUUUCAUGGAUCCCACCUUAUAUUUUCUCUCAAAUCAUCCAAAAGGAAAAUCUUUGGCAAAUGUAGAGAAUCAGAUGCAAAUAACGAAGACAGAAGACAACAUUAGAAAGAGCAACCAAAUUUUUUUUUAAAAAAAAUAAUAAAUAACGAAGAGAGAAGAAAUGAAGCAUCAUACCUUACAUAUUUGUACCAAUGUACAUGUCUUAAUUAUAUAAACCUACAUAUAUUUAUCUAUAUUAAUAAAGUAAAACAUACACUUUUUGAGAAAUAAUAAUUACCAUAUAAUAUAAAACUAAACACUUAAAACUAAAAACAACUAAAAAAAAAAAAAAACUAAAAACAAAUAUAAAUUAAAAACUUAACCAAAAUAAAUUCUUGGCACGAAACGCAGACUAAUCCCUAAUUUAUAGACGAUACAAAAACAAUAGGCGCAUAAAUGAUCAUAUUGCAGGCCUUUGGGAGACAACUAACGCAAUUGUAUAAAUUAACCCAAAAUGCUACUUAC